UACAGAGGUCCCAAGCGUUGUUCGGAUUUACUGGGCGUAAAGCGCACGUAGGCGGAUCUUUAAGUCAGAGGUGAAAUCCCAAGGCUCAACCUUGGAACUGCCUUUGAUACUGGGGAUCUCGAGUUCGGGAGAGGUGAGUGGAACUGCGAGUGUAGAGGUGAAAUUCGUAGAUAUUCGCAAGAACACCAGUGGCGAAGGCGGCUCACUGGCCCGAUACUGACGCUGAGGUGCGAAAGCGUGGGGAGCAAACAGG
rnacentral:rRNA from 1 species